GUCAUAGCGACUUUUGGGAUAGUUUGCUAUCGACAAAGGGAGACAAAGUCAAGGGGUGAAGGGAAAGGAGGGCCAAGUAGAGCCUCCACGACCCUCGGCUUCCUCCUCACCAGCUCCCCCUCCCUCCAAGUCCAGUAAGAAGUUGGGCCAAGCUGGAAGGGAUUGACCGGGUUGCUUGUCUGGAGAUGGAGCCACUACAGGCGGGCCUGGGCGCCUGGAGUCGGGCAUGAAAGAAAAUAGCGCCUCAUCGCUCUUAUCUAAGCCCAGAGGUCCAGGGGACAACCUGAGGGCCCUGAAGUGUUUCAAUACCAUGUACCAGCUUGACUUCUCUACAUGUCCUUUGGAUUGCCCAAAAGCAAAAUCUCAGAGGGGCCAAGGACCUUCUAGGGCUGGCUCCCUCAGGGCCUCCUAUAGAGCAGCUCCUUGAGUCGGGCCUUAUAGCCACCAGAAAGUCACCUCGCCGCAGGAAAGCUAUAAAGAGCUGCUCCAGAGGCGCCGAAAGAGGGUAGACUUCGCUUGAAAAGAUCGAGAAUGGAGGAGGGGAUCGGCACUCACUUGCAGACAUCAACAGUUUCCAGAAAAUUCGGUUCAAUUCCUUCACCACGGACCCACCAACCAAGGAGCUGGCAAAACCCACUAACCAACCAGGAGAACACAGACCCGGUUUGUCUUUUGACAACCGAGUGGAACUGACGGGGCCGGCGCCUGCCCUGCGGGUCCCCUCCCUUGGCUGAGAAGAAAACCAAAUAAACCUUGAACAGCCUUGGCUUCGAAAAAAAAAAAAA
rnacentral:lncRNA from 1 species